GGGAGGGAGAGAGAGCUCAGUGUGCGUGGAACAGUGACACGGGAGAGACGCGCGACCGGCGGCUUCCCGUCCUCACUCUCUCGCCCGCGCGCCUCUCGGCUACGAUAAGAUAUUGCCAAGAAAAAUGACUUAGUAAGUGCGAGUGAAGGAAGGAAGAAAGAAGUGAAUAUUCCACGAACAAAAAGA